GCCACCUUAUUAUCCACCCCUCUUUUGUAUAAGAUUAUGUAUUGCAGACGUAGCAAUUUAGAAACCCCUCUGAGUUGCAAGUUAGUAUGCAGCCUUUGCUUUAAUAAGUGUUUGAUACUCUCAUGAUCAGUUUUUAUGAAAAAGGGUCCUUGUUCUAAGUAAUGUCUCCACUUGGACGCAACAAAUGUUAUAGCCAAUAAUUCUCUUUCAUAAACUGAUAAAGACUUUGUCCUAGGACCAAAUGCCUUAG
rnacentral:misc_RNA from 1 species